UAUUGCGCAAUGGACGAAAGUCUGACGCAGCCACGCCGCGUGAGUGAAGAAGGCCUUCGGGUUGUAAAGCUCUGUCGGAUGGGACGCCCCUCUUCAUAGUGAAUAGCUAUGAGGACUGACGGUACCAUCAAAGGAAGCACCGGCUAACUCCGUGCCAGCAGCCGCGGUAAUACGGAGGGUGCAAGCGUUGCUCGGAAUUAUUGGGCGUAAAGGGCAAGUAGGUGGUCUCAUUUGUCUGGGGUGAAAGCCUUGAGCUUAACUCAAGAAGUGCCUCAGAAACGGUGAGACUCGAGUUCUGGAGAGGGUCGUGGAAUUCCCGGUGUAGCGGUGAAAUGCGUAGAGAUCGGGAGGAACACCUGAGGCGAAGGCGGCGACCUGACAGAUACUACACUCAACUGCGAAA
rnacentral:rRNA from 1 species